UACGUAGGGACCGAGCGUUGUCCGGAUUCAUUGGGCGUAAAGAGCUCGUAGGCGGCUGCUCAAGUCGAAUGUGAAACCUCGAGGCUUAACCUCGAGCCUGCAUUCGAUACUGGGCGGCUAGAGUCUGGUAGGGGGAUCUGGAAUUCCUGGUGUAGCGGUGGAAUGCGCAGAUAUCAGGAGGAACACCCGUGGCGAAGGCGGCUCUCUGGGACGGUACUGACGCUGAGACGCGAAAGCGUGGGGAGCGAACAGG
rnacentral:rRNA from 1 species